rnacentral:rRNA from 1 species
GAUGAACGCUAGCGGCAGGCCUAAUACAUGCAAGUCGAGGGGUAGUGGUUGCUUGCAGCCAUGAGACCGGCGCACGGGUGCGUAACGCGUAUGCAACCUACCUUCAUCUGGGGGAUAGCCCGGAGAAAUCCGGAUUAAUACCGCAUAAAAUCACAGUACGGCAUCGUACAAUGAUCAAACAUCUAUGGGAUGGAGAUGGGCAUGCGUGUCAUUAGUUAGUUGGCGGGGUAACGGCCCACCAAGACCGCGAUGACUAGGGGAUCUGAGAGGAUGACCCCCCACACUGGUACUGAGACACGGACCAGACUCCUACGGGAGGCAGCAGUAAGGAAUAUUGGUCAAUGGGCGCAAGCCUGAACCAGCCAUGCCGCGUGCAGGAAGACGGCCCUCUGGGUUGUAAACUGCUUUUAUUCGGGAAUAAACCUGCUUACGUGUAAGUAGCUGAAUGUACCGAAGGAAUAAGGAUCGGCUAACUCCGUGCCAGCAGCCGCCGUAAAAC